rnacentral:rRNA from 1 species
GUCUAUAGCCAUGCCACCCUGAACAUACCCGAUCUUGUCUGAUCUUGGAAGCUAAGCAGGGUUGGGCCUGGUUAGUACUUGGAUGGGAGACCACCUAAGAAUACCAGGUGUUGUAGGAG